UACGUAGGGGGCAAGCGUUGUCCGGAAUCAUUGGGCGUAAAGCGCGUGUAGGCGGCCACGUUAGUCCGUUCUGAAAGCCCGGGGCUCAACCCCGGGAGGCGGAUGGAUACUGCGUGGCUCGAGUCCGGAAGAGGCGAGUGGAAUUCCUGGUGUAGCGGUGAAAUGCGCAGAUAUCAGGAGGAACACCAAUGGCGAAGGCAGCUCGCUGGGACGUGACUGACGCUGAGACGCGAAAGCGUGGGGAGCAAACAGGAUUAGAUACCCUGGUAGUCCACGCCGUAAACGAUGAACACUAGGUGUAGGGGGUGUCGACUCCCCCUGUGCCGAAGCUAACGCAUUAAGUGUUCCGCCUGGGGAGUACGGCCGCAAGGCUAAA
rnacentral:rRNA from 1 species